UAAUCGGCCCUUUUCAGGGCCACAAACAGUUUUAAAACGUUGGAA
rfam:Cerapachys biroi unplaced genomic scaffold scaffold754, whole genome shotgun sequence.